GGCCGCUCACAGGUGGCCCUGGCUAUAAAUAUCCCUGGGGAAGAGCAGUGGGGCUGCUUUUAGCCUCAGCUGUGUUGGCGGAAGAAGCGGGCUGGGACCCCGGGAGAGGCGAGAUGAGGAAACGGAGGCCCUAUGAGAUCUUGCCUGUCCAGCUCCUAAGAGAUGAAGUUUGAGAUUUAAAUGCAGGCAGCAGUAUAGCUGCCUCUUUGUUGCAGGUCUAUGUCCAAACCCAUAAUCCUGGUGUGUCUGGUUUAAGAAUUCACACGAGCCCAGCUACCUACGACCCGGCCUGAGGAAUAGAAUGUCGCCAGCUCCUCGGGUGGCCCUCGAAGA